UUGGAGGGCAAGUCUGGUGCCAGCAGCCGCGGUAAUUCCAGCUCCAAUAGCGUAUAUUAAAGUUGUUGCCGUUAAAAAGCUCGUAGUCGAAUUUCGGCCUUUGCCGCCCGGUCCGCCUAUUUGGGUGUGUACUGGAGCGGUGGAGGCUUACCUCGUGGUGAGCUGUUAUGCCCUUUACUGGGUGUAGCAGGGAACCAUGAUUUUUACUUUGAAAAAAUUAGAGUGUUUAAAGCAGGC
rnacentral:rRNA from 1 species